rnacentral:rRNA from 1 species
CCCUUAGAUGUUCUGGGCCGCACGCGCGCUACACUGAUGCAUUCAACGAGUCUAAAACCUGCUCUGAUAGGGGUGGGUAAUCUUUUGAAUGUGCAUCGUGAUUGGGAUAGAUGAUUGCAAUUUUUCAUCUUCAACGAGGAAUGCCUAGUAAACGCAAGUCAUCAGCUUGCAUUGAUUACGUCCCUGCCCUUUGUACACACCGCCCGUCGCUCCUACCGAUUGAAUGAUCCGGUGAAUAAUUCGGACUGCGGCAUUGACCGGUUCCCGAUCGUUGCUGCGGAAAGUUUAGUGAACCUUAUCACUUAGAGGAAGGAGAAGUCGUAACA